UGCAGAAUCCCGCGAACCAUCGAGUCUUUGAACGCAAGUUGCGCCCGAGGCCACUCGGCCGAGGGCACGCCUGCCUGGGCGUCACGCCAAAACACGCUCCCAACCACCCUCUUCGGGAAUUGGGAUGCGGCAUAUGGUCCCUCGUCCUGCAAGGGGCGGUGGGCCGAAGAUCGGGCUGCCGGCGUACCGCGUCGGACACAGCGCAUGGUGGGCGUCCUUGCUUUAUCAAUGCAGUGCAUCCGACGCGUAGACGGCAUCAUGGCCUCGAAACGACCCAUCGAACGAAGUGCACGUCGCUUCGACCGCGACCCCAGGUCAGGCGGGACUACCCGCUGAGUUUAAGCAUAUAAAUAAGCGGAGGAGAAGAAACUUACAAGGAUUCCCCUAGUAACGGCGAGCGAACCGGGAAAAGCCCAGGUUGAGAAUCGAUCGCCCCCGGUGUUCGA
rnacentral:rRNA from 1 species